rnacentral:rRNA from 1 species
AACGAACGCUGGCGGCAGGCCUAACACAUGCAAGUCGAGCGAGGACUUCGGUUCUAGCGGCGGACGGGUGAGUAACGCGUGGGAAUGUGCCCUUCUCUACGGAAUAGCCCUGGGAAACUGGGAGUAAUACCGUAUACGCCCUAUUGGGGAAAGAUUUAUCGGAGAAGGAUCAGCCCGCGUUGGAUUAGGUAGUUGGUGGGGUAAUGGCCUACCAAGCCGACGAUCCAUAGCUGGUUUGAGAGGAUGAUCAGCCACACUGGGACUGAGACACGGCCCAGACUCCUACGGGAGGCAGCAGUGGGGAAUCUUAGACAAUGGGGGCAACCCUGAUCGAGCCAUGCCGCGUGAGUGAUGAAGGCCUUAGGGUUGUAAAGCUCGUUCAGCUGGGAAGAUAAUGACGGUACCAGCAGAAGAAGCCCCGGCUAACUCCGUG